CAUGAGAGAACAAGAAUCAGACACAAAAACAGCUCCUCAGAGAAGAGAAGUUUUGGAGUCAUUACAAGUUGUAUCAAGACAGAUAUCAUGAUGGAGAACAUGCUGGAGUGUGCAAUCAUAGUCUUGUGGCUUCAGCUUGGCUGGUUGAGUGGAGAAGACCAGGUGGAGCAAAGUCCUCAGACCCUGAGGAUCCAGGAACGAGAGAGUGUCAGCCUCAACUGCAGUUACACAGUCAGCAAUUUCAGAGCACUGCAGUGGUACAGGCAAGAUCCUGGGAAAGGCCCCAAAGUCCUCUUCACCCUGUAUUCCAGUGGGAAAGAACAGAAGAAUGAAAGACUAACGGCUAUGCUAUCAGAGAAGGGGAGUUCUCUGCACAUCAAAACCCCUAAAUCUGAAGACUCAGCCACUUACCUCUGUGCUGUGGAGGCACAGUGCUCCCCAGGCACCUGCACCCUCUACCAAAACCCUGCAGCUGAGCCUCUGGAAUGA